rnacentral:rRNA from 1 species
AGUGAACGCUGGCGGUAGGCCUAACACAUGCAAGUCGAACGGCAGCACAGUAAGAGCUUGCUCUUACGGGUGGCGAGUGGCGGACGUGUGAGGAAUACAUCGGAAUCUACUUUUUCGUGGGGGAUAACGUAGGGAAACUUACGCUAAUACCGCAUACGACCUACGGGUGAAAGCAGGGGAUCUUCGGACCUUGCGCGAUUGAAUGAGCCGAUAUCGGAUUAGCUAGUUGGCGGGGUAACGGCCCACCAAGGCGACGAUCCGUAGCUGGUCUGAGAGGAUGAUCAGCCACACUGGAACUGAGACACGGUCCAGACUCCUACGGGAGGCAGCAGUGGGGAAUAUUGGACAAUGGGCGCAGGCCUGAUCCAGCCAUACCGCGUGGGUGAAGAAGGCCUUCGGGUUGUAAAGCCCUUUUGUUGGGAAAGAAAAGCAGCAGGUUAAUACCCCGCUGUUCUGACGGUACCCAAAGAAUAAGCACCGGCUAACUUCGUG